GAGUUGUUUUUCAUUGUUCAGAGUUGAACAUGUUCUCGGCAAGGAAACAAAAUACCGUUUAUUCAAGUUCAAGAAAAGUAAAAAACAACUGUCGAAUUGCUUCAAAACCAAGAAGGGAAAAUGUUAUUAUUGCGAUAAUCUGACCGUGGUGGACCUGUGGCUGGUUUGCCUAUAAUUCAUCGAAUAAACAGAUCAGCGAUACUUAAAUUAAAUAGUUAACUCAUGGGCAGAUCAAGUCUGGGGCAAGGUGCUUCAUCUUAGUUGUUUCACGUCACGAUUACUUGACUUGGGACAUCAUUCUUCUUCCCGGAUCUCAGUAUCUAUCAACCGAAGAAAUCGACGGUCCUGGGUAUAUAUCCGGGGCCCAAUGGCGGUCAUAUGAGGUCGCCCACCGUCACAAAGGAAACGACUUGUCCUCGACGAUUCCAUAAUCAUGAUUGAGCGUCUUAGAGUGGGACAUGAUCUCACAAUUUCACUUUCUCAAGAUCGUUUGCAUGUUCAUCAUAACGUUCGUUAUCUGUUUUUUAAUUGAUCUUGCGUUUCUUCAAAGCUUCUAAUCGAUCUGGAGUGUUCAAGUCCCGGUAGAUCGAUGUAUGCGCAGGGAUGGGUGUCUGCAAGUUAUGCCCAAAUAAACCAUUGGACUGGGGAAAAUGGGAUGUUCCUCCACUCGAGCAUUGUUGCAUCUAGGGCCUCACAAUCAAGGCAUUCAUCCGCCGAGUUUCCUUGACGAGGCACUUCUUAUGUUGACAACAGCCUGGGCGUGUCCGUUUGACUGGGCGUAGAGUUCCGAAAUACGAAUAGGUCGAAUGUUCUCCUCCAUUGAGCAAACUCGGGGGAUGCGAACUGGGGCCCACUAUCCCCGCCAUCCGUUCGAAUCUUCAACGGGAUAUUAAAAUGACGUAAAUAUUUGUUUGAGAAAUCACACAACCUCCACAAAAUUUGGCGCCUUCGAGAACACGUCCAAACACGACCAACCGAAAUUACGGUCCACUAAGACCGGGAGAAGAGAUCACGGGCCAGGGGAAACAUACGAGACCGUCACCAAGAUCUGCACAUGUUGUCCCUCAUUAUCUUGCACGCUCACACACGUUUGCGUAAAUUGAUCUUCUUCGUCAUAGCCUCGUUCAGCAGGAGUGCGUCCUUCAAUGCCAAAUAUUCUGGAUCGAUCCGGGUGGUCCUCUUGAAAUGAUCUAAAGCGGGAUCCACAAGCCUAUUCUAGGAUUUGGUGGCGCUCACGAGUACACCAUACGAAGAAUAGAUAUGGCUGUCCGGGCCAAUGUCCUCACUAUCUUUCCCUCCCGCUCCUCAACCAGGGGUCUGCUCUAAGGGGAUGGACUGAAAUUUUCCCUUAGCCCAUUCUUAGGUGACAUUAAAACCGGACAACUUCUCCGUCAGACACUGGAGCAUCAGGUUCUCUACAGUGUCAUUGGAACAUCCAUUCAUGAUCGGUAUCAAUGUUUUAGGGAUGGUGAUCGCAACAAAUUCUUCUGCCCCUGCAAGUAGAUCUGACGACAUUUAUGAACAGCCCAACCGAUAGCGAUAAGUUAAGCUCCCAAACAGAUUACAACUCAUGAUCUGCAUUGGAUCAGCUUCCAAUCUGGGGCGUCUGUUCGAUGGUCUAGCAUCAAUGCAAACGUUUUCAAGUCACAUGAAAGCAUUUUUGGUAGUGGUAGUAGUAGUAGUAGUAGUAGUAGUAGUAGAAUGAUAAAUAUUUAAGAUUUUCUCAACUAUGUUAAAGGAGGGCCUUAGCUUUACAGCUCCUUCAGGCUCAAUAAAAUCUGUUCUUGUAGAUUCCUUGGAGGGACUGGUCAAAAUCAAGUUUAAGAGUUUUGUUUUGAGAUUCAGAAGAGGGCCAGAGUGUCAAGUUUUCUUGCCACAGCUUUGGCUCCAGAGAGUGCGGUAGUUCCACGAAGUUCAGGUAUCCUCAUCCGCGUCCUCGACUCCAUCAUCGCCAAGUUCCAAACAUUAGACCUCAAUGUGGGCCUCCACACAUUCCAUGGUGUCAAGGAACUCGCUUUCCAACGUCGCAAUUUGCCCCCGUGGACAGUGAUCCAGGACCUUUUGCGUCCUUAUCGCCGUCUUCAAGGCCAGGAAUGACUGCUUGACCUGGAAGUGGAAUUGAUCUCGACGCCGUCGCAACCUCGAGAUCGAAUCGACCUCCAUCUUCGGUGGCAUGUCCAAGCAAGUUCUAAUUAAAAUUCAGUUGAAUUUCGCUUCAAGUUCGCUCCAUGUCACUAUAGUGAAGUGAUCGUCGAAUGCGCCAUUUAAUAUGCCAAAUAACCCAAUACAAAUUGUAAGGAGGAUCAGAAAUGUAUAUUAGGAGAAGAAGGACUCGAUGAAAAACCAAAGUUCAGAUCAACAGACCAGCAAGAUAGGAAAGAACGGGAAUGUGAAACGUACAUGUGAAGGAACUGAGCGGGAAAGAUAUUUAAGUAGAUGUAAAACAGAAACUGUUUUAGUCAUCUGAAAUAGAGAUAUUCAACCAGAAGAUGUUGUGUUUUAAAAAGAGUUCACUUUGAACCAAAAUUCGGAUUUCCUUUAUUUCACAAAAAAUCAUAU